rnacentral:rRNA from 1 species
UACGAAGGGGGCUAGCGUUGUUCGGAAUUACUGGGCGUAAAGCGUAUGUAGGCGGAUCGUUAAGUCGGGGGUGAAAUCCCGAGGCUCAACCUCGGAACUGCCUUCGAUACUGCCGGACUAGAGUUCGGAAGAGGCGAGUGGAAUUCCCGGUGUAGCGGUGAAAUGCGCAGAUAUCGGGGAGGAACACCUAUGGCGAAGGCAGCUCGCUGGGACGUUACUGACGCUGAGACGCGAAAGCGUGGGGAGCAAACAGG